AUGCCCAUUAUUACCUUAGAGAGAGUGAUUGGUAUGGAACCCAGUGGAUUUGUGGUACUAAUUUAUAGCCUUCACACCUACAGUGAUGGAUACAAAGGUGUAGCCUGGGAUUCCCAUGAAUUUAAGGUCAUACAUGUUGCACCCAGCGCCUCCCUCAACAAGACGGCCCACCCCUUCGGGGCGAACCUGCCUGCAGACAGCGCCCCGCAGCAGAAUGGACAGCUGCUGCAACCGCUGAUCCCAGAUGCCAGUAAGCAGUGGCUGAUGGAGGACAUGGAGGACUGGUGGGCGAGGCCUGGGACAGGCCAGUCCCGUUCCUUCUGCAUCCUCGCCCACCUCACGGGCUCCGAGUUCAUGCAAGACCCGGAUGAGGAGCACCUGAAGAAAUCAAGGCCCUACCACCCCCAGUCCCACGAGCCGCCCACCCUGGGCUGUGGACCCCGCAUUUGCUGAGCGCU
rnacentral:lncRNA from 1 species